UCUCCUGCUCCACAGCCCAGUGGUGGCAGGUGGAAUCUGCGACCAGAUACUACCACUAUGUGCCAGCAAAGUUCCACCCCAUCAAACAGCAUGAAGAAAUAAAUUGACACUCCAGACCAGAA